rnacentral:rRNA from 1 species
GACGAACGCUGGCGGCGUGCUAAACACAUGCAAGUCGAACGGAAAGGCCCUGCUUUUGUGGGGUGCUCGAGUGGCGAACGGGUGAGUAACACGUGAGUAACCUGCCCUUGACUUUGGGAUAACUUCAGGAAACUGGGGCUAAUACCGGAUAGGAGCUCCUGCUGCAUGGUGGGGGUUGGAAAGUUUCGGCGGUUGGGGAUGGACUCGCGGCUUAUCAGCUUGUUGGUGGGGUAGUGGCUUACCAAGGCUUUGACGGGUAGCCGGCCUGAGAGGGUGACCGGCCACAUUGGGACUGAGAUACGGCCCAGACUCCUACGGGAGGCAGCAGUGGGGAAUAUUGCACAAUGGGCGGAAGCCUGAUGCAGCAACGCCGCGUGCGGGAUGACGGCCUUCGGGUUGUAAACCGCUUUCGCCUGUGACGAAGCGUGAGUGACGGUAAUGGGUAAAGAGGCACCGGCUAACUACGUG